GACGAACGCUGGCGGCGUGCUUAACACAUGCAAGUCGUACGGUAAGGCCCUUUCGGGGGUACACGAGUGGCGAACGGGUGAGUAACACGUGAGUAACCUGCCCACAACUUUGGGAUAACGCUAGGAAACUGGUGCUAAUACUGGAUAUGUGCUCCUGCUGCAUGGUGGGGGUUGGAAAGCUCCGGCGGUUGUGGAUGGACUCGCGGCCUAUCAGCUUGUUGGUGGGGUAGUGGCCUACCAAGACGGCGACGGGUAGCCGGCCUGAGAGGGUGACCGGCCACAUUGGGACUGAGAUACGGCCCAGACUCCUACGGGAGGCAGCAGUGGGGAAUAUUGCACAAUGGGCGCAAGCCUGAUGCAGCAACGCCGCGUGCGGGAUGACGGCCUUCGGGUUGUAAACCGCUUUCAGCAGGGACGAAGCUUUUUGUGACGGUACCUGCAGAAGAAGCACCGGCUAACUACGUG
rnacentral:rRNA from 1 species